rnacentral:rRNA from 1 species
AUACCGUGAAACUGCGAAUGGCUCAUAAAUCAGUUAUCGUUUAUUUGAUAGUACCUUACUACUUGGAUAACCCGUGGUAAUUCUAGAGCUAAUACAUGCUGAAAACCCCGACUUCGGAAGGGGUGUAUUUAUUAGAUAAAAAACCAAUGCCCUUCGGGGCUCCUUUGGUGAUUCAUAAUAACUUCUCAGAUCGCAUGGCCUUGCGCCGGCGACGGUUCAUUCAAAUUUCUGCCCUAUCAACUUUCGAUGGUAAGGUAUUGGCUUACCAUGGUUUCAACGGGUAACGGGGAAUUAGGGUUCGAUUCCGGAGAGGGAGCCUGAGAAACGGCUACCACAUCCAAGGAAGGCAGCAGGCGCGCAAAUUACCCAAUGGCCAUUCGCCGAGGUAGUGACAAUAAAUACUGAUACAGGGCUCUUUUGGGUCUUGUAAUUGGAAUGAGUACAAUUUAAACCUCUUAACGAGGAACAAUUGGAGGGCAAGUCUGGUGCCAGCAGCCGCGGUAAUUCCAGCUCCAAUAGCGUAUAUUAAAGUUGUUGCAGUUAAAAAGCUCGUAGUUGAACCUUUGGCCUGGCUGGCAGGUCCGCCUCACCGCGUGCACUUGUCCGGCCGGGCCUUUUCUUCUGGAGAACCGCAUGCCCUUCACUGGGUGUGUUGGGGACCAGGACUUUUACUUUGAAAAAAUUAGAGUGUUCAAAGCAGGCCUUUGCUCGAAUACGUUAGCAUGGAAUAAUAGAAUAGGACGUGCGGUCCUAUUUUGUUGGUUUCUAGGACCGCCGUAAUGAUUAAUAGGGACAGUCGGGGGCAUUAGUAUUCAGUAGUCAGAGGUGAAAUUCUUGGAUUUACUGAAGACUAACUACUGCGAAAGCAUUUGCCAAGGAUGUUUUCAUUAAUCAGUGAACGAAAGUUAGGGGAUCGAAGACGAUCAGAUACCGUCGUAGUCUUAACCAUAAACUAUGCCGACUAGGGAUCGGGCGGUGUUAUUAUUUUGACUCGCUCGGCACCUUACGAGAAAUCAAAG